rnacentral:lncRNA from 1 species
GUCAAUAAUUAAUUAAGAAUUAAUUUUGUGAUCAAGUGUAAUUAAUUAAACUAGAGGGGCUGAAUUGUAAUUAUGUGAUAGUUACAAAAUAAGGUAAGGAUUAUCUUAUAUAUAUGGUGAACGAAUUUGAGGUGUAAAUCCCUUAGAAUUCGACUAGGAUAAGGGUUUCUAGGACUUAUCUUAUGGUUGCUUGGUGGACAAGCAACUAGAUAAGGAUAAGGACUAAAACCCUAAUCUUUACACCUAUAUAAACCCCCUAAGGCAUAGGAAUUCGUCUAACCCUUCCCAAGAGGUCCUAAGGACGAAUUCUAACCUCCCUCCUCUCUCUUUAUACCUUCUCCACUUGCUUAUGGUGUUUGUAAGCCAUUAGAGGAGUGACACUUGUGACUCUCAGCCUUCCAAAGUCAAUUCAAGGAGGAAUUGGGAUUGUUAUUGCUACAUAACAAUCAAGGUAAUAUCAUAAACCUAAUUAUAUGUUAAUAUUGAUUUCCAUAUGCUAGAAUUAGGGUUUAUAGUCUUGGAUUCAAAGCAUGUACAAUAGAGAAACCUAGAUCCAAGCAUUAGGGUUUGUAUGAGCACAUAGGAUGUCUUAUGACCAAAACCCAUCAGUGGUAUCAGAGCCUAGAUUGGUUUCUAUUGUAUUGAUGCUUGAUAUGUUUGAAAAUUUCGAAUUUUGUGUUUCUGGAGGCUGGACUCGCCGAGUCCAUAGAUGAACUCGCCGAGUCCAAGGUGACUCGACGAGUCCAAGCCUGACUCGACGAGUCAACUCGUCAGAUGGAGGGUACUUCGCGAUUUCUUGCUGUUUUUGCUUAUGGAUAGUUACCUUAUCAUGUUAGAUCAAUAUUAAUCCGAUUAUAUGAUAUAUUUGACUAUAUUUUUGAUCUAAUUGAAGAUAUUUAUCAAUUAAUAAGAUAAUUGUUUCCUUAUAAGAUAAUUGAUUAAUUAUUUUGAGUAAAUUGAUAAAUUGUUUUGCAAGAAAUCAUUAAAUAAAUCAAAUAUGGAUAAUUAUGUGAUUAAAUGUUAAUUUGAAUUAUUUGUUAUUUGAUCCUUGUUGUUAUGAAAAGUUUCAUAUUUUGCCCUUUAGGUUUUAUAGUUUAAAUUUGAACCCAAAAGUUUUGUUGUUUUGAAAUUUAAAUAGUUGAAACCCUAAUGUUUUGAAAAAGGUUUCAAAACUUGCCCUCAAGUUUUGGAAUUUAAAUUUUGAUUAAAUGGUUUAAUUUUGAUGUAUAUUUAAAUUCUAAACCCUAAUGUGUUGAAAUGUUUCAAAACUUGCCCUCAAGUUUUGGAAUUUAAAAGUUGAUUAAAAGUUUAAUUAGGAAUGUUAAAUUCUAAAACUCUAGUAUAGUUUUGAAAAAGUUCAAAUCACACCCUUAUGGUUUUAUUAAUUAAUUAAGGUGUAUAAUUAAAAGAGGUUUAAUAAAUCCAUAAAAGUUUAGGUUUACAAUUUAAUUGAAUUAAAAGUAUAAUUGUUAAAUUAGACCACCUAGUAUUUUAAAAGUAUAAAAUACACCCUAUACUAUAUAUAACAUUAAAAGUCUAACAUUAUAUAUAUGUAUGAGUAAAAGUCAGUCUUACCGUUAGUAGGCCUCAUUCACGAAGCUGGUCUAUAAGGGGUGUUUAAGGAAAUUGCCUAUAAAAUGGCGAUUGAAUGGGUAUCCACUCUUACCCACCGCACUCUUGACUAGUGGAGGGUCGUUAGCCGAACGGGUAGGAUAGGACGAAACCUUCCAUUAUAAGUAUAAUGAAUUAUUAAAGUAACUAAAUGUUUUCAUAAAAUUCCCAAUCUUAGUUACUUAGGCAAAAGUGAAUUGAUGCAAUUCCAUGAAAUUACACUUUGUGCCCUUGCGAAGACGUUAGUGGAGCGUGUGUGGUUUACCGGCACACUAAAUGGUUCUAAGCAAAGGUAGCAAAGGGUGACUCAAUGUUUGUCAUAGUUCGGUGGAGCGUGUGUGGUUUACCGGCACAUCGAAUAGGUGACUGUAACAUGUGAGGGCACCAUGUAAGUUUGCAUGGUUAUUCACACCCGCUUUGUGAUCCUCGGCAUCCCAGUCACAAACAAGAGGGGCAUAUCGAGAUUUAAACAUGCCAUUGAAAGUUCAAUGAAUCUCAAAGGAUCUAGGAGUUUUCAUAGAUUUAAAACUUAAAUUUCUUUUUCGUUUUUCAUGGUGGAAAUUAGUGAAUCGUCAUUCACUUACCUUCAAAUAUUCUGCAAUUAGGGUUACGGCAUCCCUCUCCCGAGUUGUAGAAUAUUGUGUUGGGUCCUAGCCUUAGUAUCUCAUUUGGGUGAUUUACUAAGGACUCAAUCAAUCAACUAACUUGAAUUCGUUUUCUCCCGUUUUGUAGAUGUCAAAGUUCGACAACUAUGGUCUUCCCAAAUCCCGUGGAACAAGCAUUCCACAUGAAGAUGAUAUUCCACGAUUCGAUCGAGGAACAAGAAAUCAUGCUUCACUUCCUCCUCCUCCUCCAAUUAUUCUCCCUAACCCACAAGUUCAAAGGCUUGAAAAGUUCAAGAUCACUCAAGCCCUUUUGGCAAGUAAACAUAAAGAAGGAAAGUCGGUGUGUGCACACGUCCUAGGGAUGAAGUCACACAUUGAUAGGUUAAGAAUGUUGGGAUCCGUUGUCUGUGAGGAAAUGGCUGUUGAUUGGGUUCUUCAGUCACUUCCUAACUCAUAUAGUGAGUUCGUAAGAGAGUACUAUAUGAUGAACCGCGACGUGACCCUUAUAGAUCUCACCUAUAUGCUUAUUGCUGCUGAAUCAGCAAUGGUUUGGCGCAAUAGAAAAGCAAAGUUGAUUGGUGAAUCUGCCUUCAAGACCUCUAUGGAUAUAGACAAUGGCAACGAAAGACAUGCUAUGAUCGAAAAGUUUGAUCAUAAGAGAAAGGCAAUGUCUGAAGUAGUUCCAUGUCAUGUUCCAAAAGAGUCAAUUUGCUUUUAUUGCCAAGAGAAAGGGCAUUGGAGACGAAGCUGCCCCAUUUACCUAAGAGAUCUAAGAGAUGGGAGAGUCGAAACGUAUGGCUCUAAUAUAGGUAAAAUCCAUUAACUAACUCUUUUAAGCUUCUAUUCUAGAUUCUUAAUACAUAAUGUGAUAAGAUUACAAUUGAUGUUUUGUAGGAUCGAAGAAAAGAAAGGAAGCUUAAGGGAAGAAGUGAGCAGAAUCUAACCGUGAAGGAAUGGAUUUCGAUCGCAUUUCUCGAAGAUUAGAUUCUUGAGCUACUACUUAGAGUUAGAAUUAGAUUGCUAAGAAAGAUGUAUUAGCAUAGUUUUUCAAUGAAUUGCAUUGUAAGGACAAAUUUUUUCCGCAAUAAAAUAAAUUUUGAUUUUAUAUUAUUUAUUUAUCCUUGCAAUGGCGUAUAUGAAAAAUUGAUGUUUGAAUGUUUCUAUUAUUAGCAAUAAUGGAUUUGGUUCUUAUUAUGUUAUUUAUGGAAAGUCGAGAAUUUACCAAAUAGGGAGAGUUUCUCAUCGCCCAAGUUUCAAUUGGACAGAAACUUGGAAUCAUGCAACUUGGUUGCACGAUGAAUGAGAAAUUUCAUAUUUGGAAAUUAGACUAAUUCAUUGACAAAGUGUCAAGUGAAGGACUAGGAGAUCGAGUACACAAAGUUGCGUGUUGAUCAAGUCCACCAUAAGAGUAACAAAGAUAUUCGUCAUGAUUUACUAAAGGUUUAGUAAAUAUGAUUAUACUUAUAAGAUUAAGUGUAAUUCUGAAUUGAUUGAAAAAGUUUAAAUCAAUAGCAGAACGAAUAAGAAGAAUCAAGUAGGCAGAAAGAUAAAAGUUUCUCCAUUCUAAGAAGAAGGGAGAGUACCUUUUAUGCUUUAUGAUAGGUCUUAAUGAUUAAGAACCAUAUCUCAAUUGAUCCUCUAAGUGAGUCUUAGUACAAUUGUAUGUCUAAGAAGAGGAAUCAAGAAUUGAAGAAAUGGUUAAAUCAAGAAGUCAAUCAUACUUCGUUCCAAAACAAGUCUUAGAGUUAAGAUUGUGACAUUGAGUGAUAAGUAUUAAGAAGGUUUAUAACAUUCAUCAAAUGUGGAAAGUUGUGAUGUCUUGGAUAAGACAAAGACCAACUAGGACCAAUUUAUGAAGUGUUUUGAUAAAAGCUACACUAACUCUUGAAUAUUUGUUUGUCAAGAAAUGUUUAUUGACAAGAGAAUCUUAUAUGUCAAGGAGUCAGUGGGAGUCUUAAUGGUCUUGAAAGGUUUCAAGAACAAAUCAAAUAAACCUUAUCGAUCAUCACUAGCACACGAGUUGAGGUUUACAACCUAUCGUGUUGACAUUAUUUUGUUUCUGUGCCAAUCCAAUCGAGUUAAUUAUGCAUGUGAGUUCUAUGAGUUCUCAUUUUGAACGCAUAAAAGGCAAAGCACCUUAAUCAAUGAAAGGUACAUUGAUAGGAAAGGGUGAGCUGCUUAACUACUUGGAAGACAUGGUGGGCAGCUGUGCUACCAUAAGGCAAGAAAUCAAGAUUAAGAAAGUUCGGUCCAUAUGAGUUUGAAUUUGUCGUAAACUUUGGUUUUAACAAAUUCACAUGGAUAGGAACACAUACACCGUUUAAAUCUAAGUGUCAUAAGAUUUCCUCCUUCAUGAAAAUGAUUGUGAGGAAAUGCUUUCACUAAGAAAGAUUUUAAGAAGAUAGUGAUUGUAAAAUUGCAUUCUCGAAUUCGAUUAUGGUUACGGUAUCCCUUUCCAUAAUUUGAAUUGUGAGGUUUGGCAAUUAGUCUUAAUUGUUUAGACACACAUAUGAACUAUCGAAGGCAAAGGUGUAUAAGUUCAAGAAGCCUUGAUAAAAGAUUAUCAAAGCACUAAGUAUUAGAAACAUGAACUUAAGAAAUUCAAUAAGUAUUGUUUUUCUGAAAGUUAAGAUGUUUAUGAAUACAUGUCGAAGCUAGUGGGAGCAUAAGUGUUAUGUUUUAUAAUAAUCAUCAUGAUAGUGGGAGCAUAAAUGUUAUGAUUGUAUGAUUAUUAAGGAAAGUAUUGCAAGUUGGCAAUAUUAAUUAUAGAAAACAAGAGUCAUACUUUGCAAAGUUGUAAGGGUUGAAAGGUUGUUUUGCUAUAAUUAAGGGAGAGAAUAUUAUGCUUCAUUUCAAAUCUAAAGGAUUAGGUUGAGAAAUGUUAAUAAAUUUAGUCAAAGGUACAUAGUGUGUUCUUAAAAUUUCGAUUAUGAUUACGGCAUCCCUCUUCACAAUUCGAAUUUUGAGAACAUAGCAAAUAAAACAUUAUGCGUCGUGUCCCAUACGCUUCGGGUAUAGGAUCGAUUGCAAAUGCUUUAAUGUUUGACCAUUCUAAAAUUUUCCAAAUGUCGAGCGCAUUUAGAGGGAAAAGGGACUAGAAUUGGUUUUGACUAAAAUAAUUAAACAACUAUCAAAGGACAAUCCAAAGUUCGACGAGGAUUGGUCGCUUGUGAGUAGUUGGAAGUAUGGUAUUGGAAAAUAUGGAAAUGUUUCCAUAUUGGAUGGACCAUAUCGACAUCAUUACGAAUAGAUAAGAUUCUAUUAAGAAUGAGUUGUCAUAUGGAACAUAUGGAAGUGUGUCCAUAUUGGGAAUUGAAUAUUGAGAAAUCUAUGACUAGAUUAGAAACUUCUAUGCAAAAGGAUGUUCAAAGAAUGUACUUUGAGUGAGAGACAUCACGUCUAUGGAAUUGUCUUGUAACAAUCUCCGAUAGAGGACUUUGUAAUAUCAUUGGCAAUAGUCUUUGUGACUUUGGUGCAGUGACAUUACGAAAGGAUAGUUGCAUAGAAUGUUAGAAUCUAGCAUAUUCUAUAAGUAGCAAGAAUUUGAUAUUCUUUGACUUAUGAAAAACGGAUUUGGAGUUGUGAAAUGAGAAGGAUUGGAAAUGUGUUCAAUGUGAUCUAUUUCACAAAGUAAGAACCAUAGGUAAACAUUGUGUGCAUGCUAGGAGCAUGGGACAAGUGUUGGAAUUCAAGUAAGAAGUUGAUUACCCGAAACGACAAAUAAUGAGUAAUCAAUAUGGUGAUAAAUAAAAGGUGUUUUAUUUAUACUCAAAGGUUUGAGGCCAUAUGGGAUUAGUAUUAUUCUUGUGUUUCACAUUUGCAUGUUUUGACUUCCAGAAUAAUUGAGUUUAUUAAGAAUAAUCGAAUUAUUCAAACGGGCCACAGUCGUUCAUAUGUUGGAAGUAGAUAUGAAUGAAGACUGUCGUGAAUUGGUGUGUGGAUUGUCUAAAAGAGUAUUAGACAUAAGCAAAUGUUUGCUGCAACGUUCAUGAGUGCUUAUGAAUAUGAUUUGAGCAUUGGAUUAAACCCACGCUCACUUGGAUCACUCCAUGAAUUGUAUCACGAGUGAUUGGUGAGACGAUAACAUCUUAUAUUCUUGAAACCGAGAUGUGUGAGUUGUAUCUUGCAAAUCGGUUGCACAUUGAUAAUAUGUAAACGCACUAGUAACUUGGUGUUAUAAAACAUAUUGUUGUGUGUGAUUCGGUGAGUGAGUGCAAGCAAGCAUUGUAUCAAAGUUUAUCCGUUCCUUUUAUCCAAAGUAGGAUAAAAGCGAUAUCUUUGGGCCCCUCGAUGGUUUAGUGAUGACAAACGUAAAUGCUCGGCCGGGCUAGGGCUAAUUUGAUUUGUUCAAUUAGUCAGUCGUCAUAAAUCGGAAAUCGAGAUAUAGUACAAAGAGAAUGAUUUGAAAUCAUAUCUCAUAUGAUAUCUAGAAUGGAGGAAUAUAUGAUCCCUUAUCUAAGGACACGCGUAUCUGAUAUGAUCAGAGUUGACAGCGGCUUUGGAAAGCUACGAUUGCAGAUCGGGAUCCGAAGUCAUACGCAGAAUAGUUGUUAGACUUAUCCAAGUGGGAGACUGUUGGAUUAGUGUCUAAGUCCAUAACUAUUUUGGUAUGUACUUGACCCGAUGGUGCAUGGUCCUUUUGGGUUGCCUUCACCAAAGCAACUUGAUUGGAGAAAUAAAUAGAGAGAGAGGUUAUUAUGAUUUAUUAAUAUGUUAUAAGAAUAAUAUAUUAAAGGAGAAAUCAUAUUUGUUUAAUUAAUAUUGGUCAAUAAUUAAUUAAGAAUUAAUUUUGUGAUCAAGUGUAAUUAAUUAAACUAGAGGGGCUGAAUUGUAAUUAUGUGAUAGUUACAAAAUAAGGUAAGGAUUAUCUUAUAUAUAUGGUGAACGAAUUUGAGGUGUAAAUCCCUUAGAAUUUGACUAGGAUAAGGAUUUCUAGGACUUAUCUUAUGGUUGCUUGGUGGACAAGCAACUAGAUAAGGAUAAGGACUAAAACCCUAAUCUUUACACCUAUAUAAACCCCCUAAGGCAUAGGAAUUCGUCUAACCCUUCCCAAGAGGUCCUAAGGACGAAUUCUAACCUCCCUCCUCUCUCUUUAUACCUUCUCCACUUGCUUAUGGUGUUUGUAAGCCAUUAGAGGAGUGACACUUGUGACUCUCAGCCUUCCAAGGUCAAUUCAAGGAGGAAUUGGAUUGUUAUUGCUAUAUAACAAUCAAGGUAUGUUCUUAAACCUAAUUACAUGUGAAUUAUGAUUUCCAUAUGCUAGAAUUAGGGUUUAUAGUCUUGGAUUCAAAGCAUGUACAAUAGAGAAACCUAGAUCCAAGCAUUAGGGUUUGUAUGAGCACAUAGGAUGUCUUAUGACCAAAACCCAUCAAAAAGAAGUAUGGAGGCAAGUCAGGGAGGAAGCAGAAAGCCUCAAGAAACUUUAUGGUAAGAGCCCAAGAGCAAGAACCAGUGAAAACUCAGGAACAGGAAGUCAUGGAAGUGCAGGAGCGAAAGAAGUACUCAGGACCGCUUCCGAAGUGCAAUAAGUGUAACUUCCAUCACAAGGGAGCUUGCCCAGUGUGCCAAAACUGUAAAAAAAUAGGUCAUUACUCGAAGUAUUGUAAGCUGAAUAAGGAGGGGAAAAGGGCAUGUUACGAGUGCGGGAGUACUGAUCAUCUCCGUAGAGUAUGUCCCAAACUGAACAAGGGGCCUGGUAACAAUGGACAAGGCCAAGCCAGGCAAAACUUCCAAGGAAAUCAAGGUGGGUGGCCAAGAGGUGUAGCCUUUGUCAUUGGUGCAGAAAAAGCUCGUCAGAACCCUUAAGUGAUAACAGGUACGUUUCUCCUGAACAACCAUUUUGCAUCAGUAAUAUUCGAUGCGGGAGCAGAUAGGAGUUUUGUUUCUUUAGCAUUUAGACCGUUAAUUGGACUGAAAUCGAGAAAGAUGAGGAAUGCUUAUGCUAUUGAACUUGUUGAUGGGUAUGAAAUUAGGGCUAGUGAUAUAAUUCCUGGUUGUACUUUGAAUUUAGCUGAUAAACUCUUUAGCAUUGACCUAAUUCCUAUAGAGCUAGGUAGUUUUGAUGUGAUAGUAGGGAUGGAUUGGUUAUCCAAAAAUAGAGCGGACAUUGGUUGUUAUGAGAAAGUCAUUAGAGUGCCUCUCCCUAAUGGAGAAACCCUUAUCAUACACGGUG